rnacentral:lncRNA from 1 species
AGCGGUGCAUGGGCUGCGGGGUGGCGGGGGCUGCUGUUCCGGCGGCGCGCUCGGAGCGGAGCGUGGAGGUGUGAGCGGAGCGGCGGCGGGCCGGCUAUAAAAGGCUGCUUUCUGCCCCGAGCCGGGUCCCCCCGAACCCGAGCCCCAGACCAAGCCGUGCUGUCCAUCUGGCCAGAAGGGAGGAGCUGCCGCUGGAAGAGCCGGGGAGAGAUGGGACCUGUCACUCGGCAGCGGAGCGCGGUGCGGGCACAGCGGCAAGGAGCCCUGGAGUCUCUGAGGAGGGGGCUCCGCUCCUCCAGGACCCUCCUGCUUUGUGAGAAGUGAGGACUCUCAUCUCAAGAGAAGGUUUUAUAUUUCCUUAAAAAUGAUCAAUUAUGGACAAGAGAAGACACAUUCAGGACACUUGGGAGCAGAAGACUUGUAGACUCACUGUCACAGAAAGCUAAGAAAACAGUUGAGUCUGAAGGAAGCUGCUGAGUUGAAGUCCCAGUACCUUGCACGUGUGCCAGUGCUCAAGGAAGAUGGUAAUACUUAACUCUUGCAGAGUUCACUGGAUCUUCAAAGACAUAGAGAAAUGUUGCAUGAUUUCCA